rnacentral:rRNA from 1 species
AACGCUAGCUACAGGCUUAACACAUGCAAGUCGAGGGGCAGCAUGAACUUAGCUUGCUAAGUUUGAUGGCGACCGGCGCACGGGUGAGUAACACGUAUCCAACCUGCCGAUGACUCGGGGAUAGCCUUUCGAAAGAAAGAUUAAUACCCGAUGGCAUAGUUCUUCCGCAUGGUGGAACUAUUAAAGAAUUUCGGUCAUCGAUGGGGAUGCGUUCCAUUAGGUUGUUGGCGGGGUAACGGCCCACCAAACCUUCGAUGGAUAGGGGUUCUGAGAGGAAGGUCCCCCACAUUGGAACUGAGACACGGUCCAAACUCCUACGGGAGGCAGCAGUGAGGAAUAUUGGUCAAUGGACGAGAGCCUGAACCAGCCAAGUAGCGUGAAGGAUGACUGCCCUAUGGGUUGUAAACUUCUUUUAUAUGGGAAUAAAGUGGUCCACGUGUGGAUUUUUGUAUGUACCAUAUGAAUAAGGAUCGGCUAACUCCGUGCCAGCAGCCGCGGUAAUACGGAGGAUCCGAGCGUUAUCCGGAUUUAUUGGGUUUAAAGGGAGCGUAGAUGGAUGUUUAAGUCAGUUGUGAAAGUUUGCGGCUCAACCGUAAAAUUGCAGUUGAUACUGGAUGUCUUGAGUGCAGUUGAGGCAGGCGGAAUUCGUGGUGUAGCGGUGAAAUGCUUAGAUAUCACGAAGAACUCCGAUUG